rnacentral:rRNA from 1 species
AGAACGAACGCUGGCGGCAUGCCUAAUACAUGCAAGUCGAACGAACACUUCGGUGUUAGUGGCGCACGGGUGCGUAACGCGUGGGAAUCUGCCCUUGGGUUCGGAAUAACAGUUGGAAACGACUGCUAAUACCGGAUGAUAUCGAAAGAUCAAAGAUUUAUCGCCCAGGGAUGAGCCCGCGUAGGAUUAGCUAGUUGGUGAGGUAAAGGCUCACCAAGGCGACGAUCCUUAGCUGGUCUGAGAGGAUGAUCAGCCACACUGGGACUGAGACACGGCCCAGACUCCUACGGGAGGCAGCAGUAGGGAAUAUGGACAAUGGGCGCAAGCCUGAUCCAGCAAUGCCGCGUGAGUGAUGAAGGCCUUAGGGUUGUAAAGCUCUUUACCCGAGAUGAUAAUGACAGUAUCGGGAAGAAGUAACGCCCCGGACUAACUCCGUGCCAGCAGCCGC